rnacentral:rRNA from 1 species
UACGUAGGGCGCAAGCGUUUGUCCGGAAUUAUUGGGCGUAAAGAGCUCGUAGGCGGUUUGUCGCGUCUGCUGUGAAAACUCGAGGCUCAACCUCGGGCUUGCAGUGGGUACGGGCAGACUAGAGUGCGGUAGGGGUGACUGGAAUUCCUGGUGUAGCGGUGGAAUGCGCAGAUAUCAGGAGGAACACCGAUGGCGAAGGCAGGUCUCUGGGCAUUAACUGACGCUGGAGGAGCGAAAAGCAUGGGGAGCGAACAGG